GUCGACUCUUUGAACCGGCUCUUUUGGUGAACGUAGGAAACGGAUUGACUAACGCAAAGGAUUGCCUGAGUGAAGAUGAGGAGAAGACGACGUGUCCAGUGCUCCUGUGGACAGAGAGAGCUCCAACCUGGAGGAGCGAGUGAGGGAGCUGGAGGAACUGCUCUGUGAGACACACAGAGAGUGUGAGAGAAACAACAAGUUGAAAUAUGAGGAAGCGAUGGUGUACAUAAUCCAAGUGGAAGACGAGAACUCCAAUCUGAGGUCUGAUGUGGAAACUCUAGAAGACUCAGUGCAGGAGUUGGACAGAGAGCUCGCAGUAUCCCGGAUAACGUGAACGUGAUGGAGCAAAACAGCAGCUGAGGAUCCUGCAUUCCGAGUGCAGUGAGAUGAAGGACAUUUUACUGAAGGUGAAGUGAAGUGUGCCAGAGGUUGACCGUAUGCUCAUGUCACAAAAUGAGGUGUUAAAGAAGUUGUUAAAGCAGAAUGAGGAGUUAAUGCAGGCCUCUCUGGAUGAAGCUGAAAGCAAAUACGAGAAGGCUGUGAUGACCAUUGCUGAACUGGAGAACAAGAACUCUGACCUGAUGUCCCUGGUGACCAUGCUGCAAGGUACAGUGGAGGUGACGGAGAAGCUUGAUGAGACAUGCAGGACGUCUGAAGACAUAAGGAGGGUGACAACCUGGGAUCCGACAUGAUUGGUGGUUUUGUCGAGAACUUUAGCUGAAGCCUACAUUUCUGCAGGUAUGUCUAAUUUAGAGGAAAUAAAACUUGCCAUCUCCUCUUCGUUACCUGGUCUCUCUGAUGAAACGCUUCAAAAAUUUAUCCAUGGUCUUUCUGCUAUUGGUGUUGAGACAAAAGAUGACCUCCGGUAUGUUGAAGACCUCAUGGAAUUCCUCAGCCCUAUACAAUGCCGCAAACUACUGAAUGCAUGGAAAAAUGAAGAACAAUUCAGCUGCUCGACUCCCCAAUGAUAAUCGCGUCAAGUUCUUUCGGAUAUAUCAAGCCCAGGAUCAGAGAGUUCUACACCAUCUCGUUCUAUUGCUUGCUUUUCAGCAUCUUGCGCCUGGGCUGAAACAUUUAAGGAAGUCAUCAAACAUUUCAAACAUUUGGGAAGUCAUGCCUUCCGAAAUUAAACUGGCCAUUGCAAAUAAAAAAAGACCAUCACCAGCUGAUUGAAGGAAGCUAGUAAGAAUGUUAGUGGAUAACAUGCAAAAACAUGAAGUAAACCCAUCAAAGGCACAGUGUCAGAUUGUAGUGCAGAAUAUUGUUAAGCAGUACCCGGACAGCUUUGCUGAUGUUCUGUCUGAUGGAACAAAAAUAGGUAGUGGGUAUGCCUCUUUACUCUUACAAGUUAAAACCCGUGUUGAACAUGUAAACAGACACAACACUUUAGCUCGUCGGAGAAAAGAACGACUACGAUCAUCAUGUUAGAACCAUAAGCCAUAACCAUAGGAGAAAAUGAUGACACUCUAGAAGAGAAGCGCAAGCAAAUGGUGCUGCUUCAUUCUACUGAAGAAAUGUCUGGAGCCAAUAGAGGAGAACUUCACAAGUUGAUGGAGGUCACAUAUUACCGUCAGCGCCGUGAUAUAAACGCCACUCCACCACUGUCUGGACUAAAGAACUCAUGGCCUUACCUGUUUUGUCUGAAGGGGAUCUUUUUACAUUUCCAAUUGCUUACUGACAUCUCACUGCUACAAAAAAUCAUGGAGAGCAUUGAAGGGAAAGGAAAGAGGAUUCUAAGAUUUAUUCAAGAAAAGCCAACAAACAAAGAGGUGUGUGCUGUUCUGUCAAAGUAUCAAGAGGGAAAUUCUCUGGUCCUGUGCAUCUUAACUCUUAAUGGCCCAUUUCAAAGAGAGAACAGAAUCACUUCUAAUUGAAGCUGAUGCAGCAGCAACUGCAGCCGACAUGGAAAGAGAGGGAUUACCGGAUUCACCCGCAUUGAUCAUCCAAGGUGAAUCCAUGACCCCAAGCAAAUGGAUGUUGUCUGUCGAGAGGGAAGUUGUCCUGGGCCCAUUUUCAGAGGCAUUUGUUGAGGGCCUGGCAGCAUUGUUUGCGACCUAUUACAACUUAAAUCUUGCUUAUCAGGAUGACGCUGCAUGCACGCUGGAAUUUAUUCAGAGAGGACUUGUGGGCAUCAACCCAGAAACUGGAUCAAAAGUUGCUGCUGGAAAGCGAGACAAGAAAAUGCAUGGAAUGAACCCACAUGUAUGCACACUGUUGUGUAAACUAAUGGACUUUAAAUGGCUUGUCAUUUAAAGUAUUCCAAUAGAAUUAGACUCGGAUUUCCAAGUUCAUAUUCUUGCCUUUAAGGAAGGCACAGUUCAGACCAUUUCUUUAGUUAAUGACUUCAGAACAAUCACUUUAGGAAUGUGUGCACUGCAUAGUUAAUAUUUAAGUGCUGCUGUUCUCUGAGGUUUUUUCCAAGGCUAAAGCCUUACAAUGUGCAAUCUCUCUUUUUUUUUUUUUUUUAAAUUGUUUCACCAAAUACAUUUUGGAAUCUGGUUAUGUUAAAUAGCCAUUACAAUAAAUUUAUCUUAGUGAACCUGUUUUUGUGAGUUUUAUUUGACAAAAAUGCUUUAACUUACAGCAAACAAAUAGUGAAUUGAA